GGGGGCGUAGUGUAGCGGUUUAACAUUCCGGCCUGUCACGCCGGCGAUCGCGGGUUCGAAUCCCGUCGCUCCCG
rnacentral:tRNA from 1 species